AUCCAUCGCUGUCACUUAAGCAGCUGAGUACCUGGGAUAAGAAAUGACUCCUCAAUCUGAUCUCAGAAGCUAAGCAGGGUUGGACCUGGUUAGUACUUGGAUGGGAGACCAGCUAGGAAGACCAGGUGCUGUAGGCG
ensembl:rRNA 5S_rRNA 5S ribosomal RNA